rnacentral:lncRNA from 10 species
GAAAUGUCCGUAGAAACGCACCUUUUUUUUUUCCUGCCAGGACAAACCGCCGGCGAUAUCCGUUCAUGUGAAAGUGUUUACUAACAUUCUCUGAAGACUCACUGGGUUCUCAGCUCGAGAACGUUCCUGUCACAAGACGUUUAGGAGGCAGGAUGCCGGUACAAUGUAUUUAUGUUCUUGUAAACUGUUGCAUUAACAGUGCACUUCAAGUGGGCACAUUUGUCGUUGGAUUUUUUACCAACUCGAGCUUGGACUUUAGGACGGGGAAAAGAAGUGCUAAAUGUUUUUGAAUAAAACCUUUACUGCACAUGAUAAACAUCCCUUAAAAAUUACCUAGGAGCACCCUAAAUUUUAAAAUGAUCACAAAGACCUGGACAGAUUACAGUAAACCUUCAACAUCGCUAAACACACGUACCAUAAAUCAAAAGAAACACACUGCUAAUGAUCCGUUUUUUGAUGUGGAAAUAUCAUGCUGUUUUUAAGGGAAAUUAUACUUUAUUGCGAUGUUUUAUUUCAAAACAAGAUGUUACACUUUAUUUCCUAUAAUUUUAUUUACAAUAUUUUACACCCGUUAAGCAAAAAUCCCCCUACAUUGCUAUUCUGUUUUUUUUUAAUCAGUUCACUACUGUAGUAUCUUUUUGUUCUCCAUAUAUUUUUGAAAAAUACGCAAAAGUCUGUCCCAGGAAGUUUUCAAACCUCUCUUGGCCAGAGAACAUCAGUGGGAGUGAUUGGAGGCCCUGGAUGGGAAGUCCCGCCAAGCUGGAACAGCUGAGCCAUCCAAACAGCAAGGAUGACAACCUUCCCUUUCUCCUAAGAACUCUGCCCCAUUCAAGCUUGGCCCAACACUGUUGCCAGGGGCUGGCUGGAAUUCCAAGCUGGUGAGUCUUAUCCUAUGAGGUGCCAUGAAAGUGGGGCCCACAGAAGGAUGCUGCUCAGCUUCCUGGAUUCAGCUCUCUUCCUAAGGUUAUGUACAAAAAUCUUAUCUCUCACUUUGCCUGAGUUGCAGCUACCUUUGCUGGUGAUCCUGGACCCAAAGUGUGCCAGCCUCUCCUGAUACUCUGUGUGUACCUGAGCAGCUAUUCUGCCAAGACUUCACACAGCUCUGUGCAUGAAACCCAAGGCCUUAGUGAAGUGGGAUCAUGAGGGGAUCUCCUAACUGGAGUGUUAAAAGAUCCUUAGGAGAAACAUUGAGUAUUAUUUCCCAGGGUGUACAUUCGCUCACCACUUCCCUGUGUUAGGGGAGGUUCACUUGGCCACUUGUUACUCAUGUUGUUGUUAUUGUUUAAGUAUUUAUUUAGAUGAUCCAUUAGAUGAUCCAUUAAAUGCCCAAAGUGGGGUUUUGAAGUCGACAAUUAUUAUUGUGUUGGGGUCUAUCUCUCUCGUUAGCUUAAUAAUCUUUUCUUUGUAAAUCUUGAUUCUCCAGCAUUGGGUGCAUGUAAAUUUAAAAUUGUUAUAUCUUUUUGCUGAAUUGAUCCCCUUAUCAUCAUUUAAUGGCCUCACUUUUGUCUCGAAAUCUAUUUUACCUGAUAUAAGUAUAGCUACUGCUCCUCUAUUUUGGUUUCCGUUGGCACAUAUUUGUGUCCUUAUAAGGUGAGGUAAAUUCUCUUGUAGACAGCAUGUAGUUGUCUUCCCUUUUCAUUUAUUCACCUACUCUACAUCUUUUGGUUAAAAAAUUUAGUUUAUUUACAUUCAUUAUUAUAGAUGAGCAGGGACUUACUACUGACGUUUAUUUGUAUUUUUUUAUUAGUCAUUUUUUUCUUCAUGUCGUUUUAUACAAGUGACUUUUUUUUCUGCUUCUAGGGUUUAAUUUCUUUAUUUUUAUAUAUUGUGUAUCAAUUAUAGGUUUUGUAUAUGUGCUUACUAGUUUGCUUACAUAUAACAUGUUAUAACCAAUUAUUUUAAAUAAAAACAACUAU